GAAGAUGUAGCUCAGUGGUAGAGUAGUUGACUAGCAUGCAAAAGGCCCUGGGUUCAAUCCCCUACACCGUCA
rnacentral:tRNA from 1 species